AAGUAGCGGCGAGCGAAAGGGAAAGAGCCCAAACCGGAAACUUGUUUCCGGGGUUGUGGAUAGAACAUAACGAGAAACUAUAACUAAUUGAAGAGAGCUGGAAANUGAGAUGUUGGGUUAAGUCCCGCAACGAGCGCAACCCUUAUUGUUAGUUGGUACCAUUAAGUUGACCACUCUAGCGAGACUGCCCGGGUUAACCGGGAGGAAGGUGGGGAUGACGUCAAAUCAUCAUGCCCCUUAUGUCUAGGGCUACACACGUGCUACAAUGGCAAGUACAAAGAGAAGCAAUACUGUGAAGUGGAGCAAAACUCAAAAACUUGUCUCAGUUCGGAUUGUAGGCUGAAACUCGCCUACAUGAAGCUGGAGUUGCUAGUAAUCGCGAAUCAGAAUGUCGCGGUGAAUAC
rnacentral:ncRNA from 1 species